rnacentral:tRNA from 1 species
UCUAGGAUAGCUUAGGUUAAAGCACUGAAUUUGUAACUCAGAGAUAAAAAAUAAAUUUUCCUAGAU